rnacentral:rRNA from 1 species
UUGUCUCAAAGAUUAAGCCAUGCAUGUCUCAGUACAAGCCAAAUUAAGGUGAAACCGCGAAAGGCUCAUUAAAUCAGUUAUGGUUCCUUAGAUCGUACCCACACUUACUUGGAUAACUGUGGUAAUUCUAGAGCUAAUACAUGCAAACAGAGCUCCGACUGGAGACGGAAGGAGCGCUUUUAUUAGAUCAAAACCAAUCGGUGGCGGUUGUUUCCGUCAUCGUACAAUUUGGUGACUCUGAAUAACUUUAUGCUGAUCGCACGGUCUCGCACCGGCGACGCAUCUUUCAAAUGUCUGCCUUAUCAACUGUCGAUGGUAGGUUCUGCGCCUACCAUGGUUGUAACGGGUAACGGGGAAUCAGGGUUCGAUUCCGGAGAGGGAGCCUGAGAAACGGCUACCACAUCCAAGGAAGGCAGCAGGCGCGCAAAUUACCCACUCCCGGCACGGGGAGGUAGUGACGAAAAAUAACGAUACGGGACUCAUCCGAGGCCCCGUAAUCGGAAUGAGUACACUCUAAACCCUUUAACGAGGAUCAAUUGGAGGGCAAGUCUGGUGCCAGCAGCCGCGGUAAUUCCAGCUCCAAUAGCGUAUAUUAAAGUUGUUGCGGUUAAAAAGCUCGUAGUCGAAUCUGUGUCCCGCGCCGCCGGUUCAUCGUUCGCGGUGUUAACUGGCGUGCCGCGGGACGUCCUGCCGGUGGGCUUAGCUCGCAAGGGCGGCCCAACUCAAUCCCGCCGCGGUGCUCUUCAUUGAGUGUCGAGGUGGGCCGGCACGUUUACUUUGAACAAAUUAGAGUGCUUAAAGCAGGCUAAAACUUUGCCUGAAUACUGUGUGCAUGGAAUAAUGGAAUAGGACCUCGGUUCUAUUUUGUUGGUUUUCGGAACCCCGAGGUAAUGAUUAAUAGGAACGGAUGGGGGCAUUCGUAUUGCGACGUUAGAGGUGAAAUUCUUGGAUCGUCGCAAGACGGACAGAAGCGAAAGCAUUUGCCAAAAACGCUUUCAUUGAUCAAGAACGAAAGUUAGAGGUUCGAAGGCGAUCAGAUACCGCCCUAGUUCUAACCAUAAACGAUGCCAGCUAGCGAUCCGCCGACGUUCCUCCGAUGACUCGGCGGGCAGCUUCCGGGAAACCAAAGCUUUUGGGUUCCGGGGGAAGUAUGGUUGCAAAGCUGAAACUUAAAGGAAUUGACGGAAGGGCACCACCAGGAGUGGAGCCUGCGGCUUAAUU